rnacentral:rRNA from 1 species
UACGGGGGGGGGCAAGCGUUGUUCGGAAUUACUGGGCGUAAAGCGCGCGUAGGCGGUUUGGAAAGUCAGAUGUGAAAGCCCCGGGCUCAACUUGGGAACUGCAUUUGAUACUGCCAGACUAGAGUACAGAAGAGGUGACUGGAAUUCCCAGUGUAGCGGUGAAAUGCGUAGAUAUUGGGAGGAACACCAGAUGCGAAGGCGGGUCUCUGGACAGUUCCUGACGCUGAGGCACGAAGGUCAGGGGAGCAAACAGG